GGUGAAGUAACUUGCUCAGGAGCAUAAGCAGUGAUGGAGCUAGGAUACUAACAGGCUGCCAGGCUCCAGCCUGCACGCUCCUAUCCACCAGGGCAGGCGGAAGCGAGCUCUCACUCCUCAAGCUUCCCGCGCUAGGCCUGGGCACCCCGCGCUCCGUCAGCCGUACUCACUCAGACCCAGGUUUGCGAGUCCUGCCAAGGCAGGAAAAUCCUGACUAUGAAGAUCAAAUGAGAUAUGUACACUGAGAGCGGAAUGUGAUGCCUAGCACACGGAGAGCUGGCCACAGAUAUGCUCCCAUUGCCCAGUUCUGUUCUUUUCAUCCCUUAAAUUACAUCAGCAGAUAUUUUUUUGGAGAAUCUACUAUAUCCAAGGAACUUUGAGGGUAUUUUCCAGAAAUUACCAACUUAAUUUUAAGAAUUCAAAUGUAUCUUCCUCCCCAUCUCACCCCUCUCCACCACCAAAGAAGCUCUCUGCUAUGGCCUUGGAAAGCAGAAGAUGGCCCAAGUCCUUGGGCCCCUGCACCCACAUGGAAGACCUGGAAGCUCUUGGCUCCUGGCUCUGGAUCGGCGCAGCUCUGGCCAUUGCAGCCAUCUGGGGAGUGAACUAGUAGAUGGAAGACUUCUCUGCCUCUCUGUAACUCUUUCAAAAAAGUGAAUGUAUGGUAAGUACAUUAUCACAAUGAAACUUAAAAAUUGGCAAGAUUUUGAGAAAUAUGUGAAAGCACACUCUGUGACCCAUUACA